rnacentral:rRNA from 1 species
UACGGAGGAUGCGAGCGUUAUCCGGAUUUAUUGGGUUUAAAGGGUGCGUAGGCGGGAUGCCAAGUCAGCGGUAAAAAUGCGGUGCUCAACGCCGUCGAGCCGUUGAAACUGGCGUUCUUGAGUGGGCGAGAAGUAUGCGGAAUGCGUGGUGUAGCGGUGAAAUGCAUAGAGAUCACACAGAACACCGAUUGCGAAGGCAGCUUACAAAUCUAUAUCGGACGCUGAGGCACGAAAGCGUGGGGAGCAAACAGG